UACGGAGGAGGCAAGCGUUAUCCGGAAUUAUUGGGCGUAAAGCGUCCGCAGGUGGCUAUUCAAGUCUGCGGUCAAAGACUGGGGCUUAACCCUGGAAAGGCCGUGGAAACUGAAGAGCUAGAGUGCAAUAGGGGUAGAGGGAAUUCCCGGUGUAGCGGUGAAAUGCGUAGAGCUCGGGAAGAACAUCGGUGGCGAAAGCGCUCUGCUGGACUGCAACUGACACUCAGGGACGAAAGCUAGGGGAGCGAAUGGG
rnacentral:rRNA from 1 species